rnacentral:rRNA from 1 species
UAGAGUUUGAUCAUGGCUCAGAAUGAACGCUGGCGGCGUGCUUAACACAUGCAAGUCGAACGAGAAAUCCGGCACUCAGGCAACUGAGUGCCGGAGAGUAAAGUGGCGAACGGGUGAGUAACGCGUGGGUAAUCUGCCCUUGAAUCCGGAAUAACUCCGCGAAAGCGGGAUUAAUACCGGGUAAUGUUCCGAAGGCGACGGUCUUUGGAAUGAAAGGUGACCUCUUCAUGAAAGUUGCCGUUCAGGGACGAGCCCGCGUACCAUUAGCUUGUUGGUGGGGUAAUGGCCUACCAAGGCGACGAUGGUUAGCUGGUCUGAGAGGAUGAUCAGCCACACUGGGACUGAGAUACGGCCCAGACUUCUACGGAAGGCAGCAGUAAGGAAUAUUGCACAAUGGGCGAAAGCCUGAUGCAGCCACGCCGCGUGUGGGAUGAAGCCCUUGCGGGUGUAAACCACUGUUAGUUGGGACGAGUGCCACUGUUUUGCAGUGGUUCGACGGUACCUUCAGAGAAAGCUCCGGCUAACUCCGUGCCAGCAGCCGCGGUAAUACUGAGGGUGCAAGCGUUAAUCGGAAUUACUGGGCGUAAAGCGCGCGUAGGUGGUUAGAUCAGUUGGGUGUGAAAGCCCCGGGCUCAACCUGGGAACUGCACUCAAUACUGUCUAGCUAGAGUAUGGUAGAGGGAAGCGGAAUUCCGCAUGUAGCGGUGAAAUGCGUAGAGAUGCGGAGGAACACCAGUGGCGAAGGCGACUUCCUGGACCAAUACUGACACUGAGGUGCGAAAGCGUGGGGAGCAAACAGGAUUAGAUACCCUGGUAGUCCACGCCGUAAACGAUGACAACUAGCUGUUGGUGUUGUGAUGACAUUAGUAGCGAAGCUAACGCGUUAAGUUGUCCGCCUGGGGAGUACGACCGCAAGGUUAAAACUCAAAUGAAUUGACGGGGACCCGCACAAGUAGUGGAGCAUGUGGUUUAAUUCGAAGAUACGCGCAGAACCUUACCAACACUUGACAUGUUCGUCGCGACUCUAAGAGAUUAGAGUUUUCGGUUCGGCCGGACGAAACACAGGUGCUGCAUGGCUGUCGUCAGCUCGUGUCGUGAGAUGUUGGGUUAAGUCCCGCAACGAGCGCAACCCUUGUCUUUAGUUGCCAGUAUUAAGUUAGGCACUCUAAAGAGACUGCCUCGGUUAACGAGGAGGAAGGUGGGGAUGACGUCAAGUCCUCAUGGCCUUUAUGCCCAGGGCUACACACGUGCUACAAUGGACGGCACAAAGGGUCGCUAAUCCGCGAGGAGGAGCUAAUCCCAAAAAGCCGUUCACAGUUCGGAUCGAAGUCUGCAACUCGACUUCGUGAAGGUGGAAUCGCUAGUAAUCGUGGAUCAGCAUGCCACGGUGAAUGCGUUCCCGGGCCUUGUACACACCGCCCGUCACACCACGAAAGUCGACUGUACCAGAAGUUACUGGGCUAACCCGGCACUCAACUCUGGAUUCAAGAUCGUAUCUUAGAAAGUGUAAUUAUAUGAUGUGUUUUUUGAAUUUGGGGUUGAGUGCCGGGAGGCAGGUGCCUAAGGUACGGCCGGUAAUUGGGGUGAAGUCGUAACAAGGUA